CUCUAACUUUUGAGUUAAAAUUUUCCAGCAGGUUUUCCCUUCUUUUAAGUUGGUUGCUUUUAAUUUAUGAUUCGGGAGUAGCAGCCAAAAAAAUGCUGGCUCUCACGUACUUGUUCUUUAAAUGUGAUACUUGAGGUUAUGGCUUCUGUUUCUGUACCUUCUGAUGCUUGAGAUUUUUUGGGAUUACCUCAAAAGUCACGGCUUAUUUUUAUUUUAGGGAACAUAGUAGUAUUGAGGACAGAAUUUAGGAGAGGAACAGAAGAGUGCCAAGCUGAAGGAUAAUUCAAUCAACCAAAUGUUAAUGCAUGUAAACUGAAGCAGUAUUCAUGAUUGUAAUUAGAUAAUAUAUGAAGCAAUUCUUUAAUUUUCAUUAGUUCAUCGUCCUUCCUUCAUCAGAGCUCUAUGAUAUUUUUCUCUCCUUACUCAAGUGGUCUUAAUUCUUUUUCUCCCUCGUCCUUGUUACCAUAUACAAUCAUAAGUGCAUUUAAACAUGAUAUCACGUCACUUCAUUUUGCUGGCUGUGCCUGUAUACUGGAGCUAUUGGCUGAA
rnacentral:misc_RNA from 1 species